rnacentral:rRNA from 1 species
GUGCCAGCAGCCGCGGUAAAACGUAGGACACGAGCGUUAUCCGGAGUUACUGGGCGUAAAGGGCGGGUAGGCGGCUUGAUAAGCUUGGUGUGAAAGCCUUCGGCUUAACCGAGGGAGGACACUGGUGACUGUCAGGCUUGAGGCAGAUAGAGGGGUGUAGAAUUCCGGGUGUAGUGGUGAAAUGCGUAGAGAUCCGGAGGAAUACCAGAGGCGAAGGCGGCACCCUGGGUCUGACCUGACGCUGAUCCGCGACAGCAUGGGGAGCGAACGGGAUUAGAAACCCCAGUAGUCC